UUCCCAUGCAGUGACAGUAAGUUGACUAACUGUUCAAGACCUUUCCCCUUCACUUCACUCUACGGCAGGGUGGGAGAUGCAACAAUGUCCUUGAGAACAGCAGGAAGUGUGUUGGUGGUCUUUCUCUGGUCUGUGGCAGUGGUACUGAGUCAGAAUGGCUGGAGUGUGACUUACACCACUCAGAGUAUCUGUACCUUGAAGGGGUCAACAGUGGAGAUGUCCUGCUCUUACACAUAUCCCAGAGGUUAUACAGUCACAACAACCUUGUGGUUCAGUGAAAUGUAUGAUGUGGAAAAUUAUGUCAGUCUGUUAGAUGACCCAGACUACAAAGGACGUGUGACGUACCGUAGUGAUAAGAUGAAUGGACACACCCUGACAAUCACAGACCUGAGAGAGAGUGACUCAGCUACGUACAAGUUCAGAUUUAUAGCAAAUCAGACCAGAGGGAAAUAUUUUGGGAGCCCUGGAGUCACUUUGUCUGUUACAGACCUGCAGGUGAAGGUGACCACUACAUGGUGGUCAAUGACACUGACCUGUAGCACCACCUGUACUCUGACUGACAACCCCACCUACAUCUGGUACAGGAACAGUACGAUUGUACAAGAGGACUCCUUCCCCUCAU